UGAGUAACCUGCCCUUAACUCUGGGAUAAGCCUGGGAAACUGGGUCUAAUACCGGAUAUGACUCCUCAUCGCAUGGUGGGGGGUGGAAAGCUUUAUUGUGGUUUUGGAUGGACUCGCGGACUAUCAGCUUGUUGGUGAGGUAAUGGCUCACCAAGGCGACGACGGGUAGCCGGCCUGAGAGGGUGACCGGCCACACUGGGACUGAGACACGGCCCAGACUCCGUACGGGAGCAG
rnacentral:rRNA from 1 species